AGAGUUUGAUCCUGGCUCAGAUUGAACGCUGGCGGCGUGCUUAACACAUGCAAGUCGAUCGGUAACGCGGGGGCAACCCUGGCGACGAGAGGCGGACGGGUGAGGAACGCUUGGGAAUCUGCCCUUCAGCGGGGGACAACCCGGGGAAACCCGGGCUAAUACCGCAUACGCUCCAUGGAGGAAAGCCGGGGACCGCAAGGCCUGGCACUGAAGGAUGAGCCCAAGCCGGAUUAGCUAGUUGGCGGGGUAAUGGCCCACCAAGGCGACGAUCGGUAGCCGGCCUGAGAGGGCGGACGGCCACACUGGAACUGAGACACGGUCCAGACUCCUACGGGAGGCAGCAGUGGGGAAUUGUUCACAAUGGGCGCAAGCCUGAUGACGCAACGCCGCGUGGGGGAUGAAGGUCUUCGGAUUGUAAACCCCUGUCGAACGGGACGAAAGACUCGGGAGCUAAUCAUCUCGAGAGUGACGGUACCGUUAAAGGAAGCCACGGCUAACUCUGUGCCAGCAGCCGCGGUAAUACAGAGGUGGCAAGCGUUGUUCGGAAUUACUGGGCGUAAAGGGCGCGUAGGCGGCCUUCUAAGUCAGACGUGAAAUCCCCCGGCUUAACCUGGGAACUGCGUCUGAUACUGGGAGGCUUGAGUAUGGGAGAGGGAUGUAGAAUUCCAGGUGUAGCGGUGAAAUGCGUAGAGAUCUGGAGGAAUACCGGUGGCGAACGGCGGCCCCUGUACGAAGAUCG
rnacentral:rRNA from 1 species